AAUCAACGCUGGCGGCGCGCUUAACACAUGCAAGUCGAACGAGAAAGGGGAGCAAUCCCUGAGUAAAGUGGCGCACGGGUGAGUAACACGUGGGGAUCUACCUUCUGGUGGGGAAUAACUCUGGGAAACCGGAGCUAAUACCGCAUAAGCCUGAGAAGGGAAAGGAGCAAUUCGCCGGAAGAGGAACCCGCGGCUGAUUAGCUAGUUGGUGGGGUAAAGGCCUACCAAGGCGACGAUCUGUAGCGGGUCUGAGAGGAUGAUCCGCCACACUGGGACUGAGACACGGCCCAGACUCCUACGGGAGGCAGCAGUGGGGAAUAUUGGACAAUGGGGGGAACCCUGAUCCAGCCAUGCCGCGUGUGUGAAGAAGGCCUUAUGGUUGUAAAGCACUUUAAGCGAGGAGGAGGCUACUCUAGUUAAUACCUAGGGAUAGUGGACGUUACUCGCAGAAUAAGCACCGGCUAACUCUGUGCCAGCCGCCGCCGUAAUAC
rnacentral:rRNA from 1 species